UACGUAGGGGGCAAGCGUUGUCCGGAUUUAUUGGGCGUAAAGAGCGUGUAGGCGGCCAGGUAGGUCCGCUGUGAAAACUCGAGGCUCAACCUCGAGACGUCGGUGGAAACCAUCUGGCUAGAGUCCGGAAGAGGAGAAUGGAAUUCCCGGUGUAGCGGUGAAAUGCGCAGAUAUCGGGAAGAACACCCGUGGCGAAGGCGGUUCUCUGGGACGGUACUGACGCUGAGACGCGAAAGCGUGGGGAGCGAACAGG
rnacentral:rRNA from 1 species